rnacentral:misc_RNA from 1 species
GCGAGUUUCAAACUCCCAACCCUCGUGGACAUACCAAACGUUGCUUCGGCGGGGCGUCCCAAAGGCGCAGCCUCUCUCGGGAGGCACCCGCCGGCCGCACGCACCAAACUCUGUUUUACAGUCGUAUUCUGAGUGGACUACAAAUAAGUCA